CGUGGAACUUGCUGGUAUAUUCCUUAAAACGAACGAGACUCUAGCCUACUAAGUGGUUUGUGCCAUUUGCCUCUGCGCAAACUUCUUAGAGGGAUUCGCGAUGUUCAGUCGUAAGAAAUUGAGCAAUAACAGGUCUGUGAUGCCCUUAGAUGUCCGGGGCUGCACGCGCGCUACACUGGCGAACGCAACGUGCUUGUCCUUGGCCCAAAGGCCUUGGUAAACCAUUGAAAUUUUGCCGUGAUUGAGAUCGGAAAUUGCAAUUACUUUCCGUGAACGAGGAAUUCCAAGUAAAUGCGAGUCAUCAACUCGCGUUGAAUACGUCCCUGCCCUUUGUAC
rnacentral:rRNA from 1 species